AGCACGGGUGCUUGCACCUGGUGGCGAGUGGCGAACGGGUGAGUAAUGCGUCGGAACGUACCGAGUAAUGGGGGAUAACGCAGCGAAAGUUGUGCUAAUACCGCAUACGCCCUGAGGGGGAAAGUGGGGGACCGCAAGGCCUCACGUUAUUCGAGCGGCCGACGUCUGAUUAGCUAGUUGGUGGGGUAAAGGCCUACCAAGGCGACGAUCAGUAGCGGGUCUGAGAGGAUGAUCCGCCACACUGGGACUGAGACACGGCCCAGACUCCUACGGGAGGCAGCAGUGGGGAAUUUUGGACAAUGGGGGCAACCCUGAUCCAGCCAUUCCGCGUGAGUGAAGAAGGCCUUCGGGUUGUAAAGCUCUUUCAGCUGGAACGAAACGGUACGCGCUAACAUCGUGUGCUAAUGACGGUACCGGCAGAAGAAGCACCGGCUAACUACGUGCCAGCAGCCGCGGUAAUACGUAGGGUGCGAGCGUUAAUCGGAAUUACUGGGCGUAAAGCGUGCGCAGGCGGAUUGUUAAGCAAGACGUGAAAUCCCCGGGCUUAACCUGGGAAUGGCGUUUUGAACUGGCAGUCUAGAGUGCGUCAGAGGGGGGUGGAAUUCCACGUGUAGCAGUGAAAUGCGUAGAGAUGUGGAGGAACACCGAUGGCGAAGGCAGCCCCCUGGGAUGACACUGACGCUCAUGUACGAAAGCGUGGGUAGCAAACAGGAUUAGAUACCCUGGUAGUCCACGCCCUAAACGAUGUCAACUGGUUGUUGGGGGAGUGAAAUCCCUUAGUAACGAAGCUAACGCGUGAAGU
rnacentral:rRNA from 1 species